ensembl:Mt_tRNA
GUAGGUGUAGUUUAAAAAAAACACUAGAUUGUGAUUCUAGAAACAAAGGUUAAAGCCCUUUCAUCCACC